rnacentral:snRNA from 1 species
AUGUUCUCAUCAUUGGCAGCAUAUAUACUAAAAUUGGAACGAUACAGAGAAGAUUAGCAUGGCCCCUGUACAA